AAACCAACAGGGAUUGCCUCAGUAACGGCGAGUGAAGCGGCAAAAGCUCAAAUUUGAAAUCCCCCCGGGGAGUUGUAAUUUGAAGAUUGCGUCUUGGAGGCGACCGUGUCUAUGUUCCUUGGAACAGGACGUCACAGAGGGUGAGAAUCCCGUGCGGCACGGCCCCCGGCUCCUUAUAAGGCGCUCUCGACGAGUCGAGUUGUUUGGGAAUGCAGCUCAAAGUGGGUGGUAAAUUCCAUCUAAAGCUAAAUACAGGCGAGAGACCGAUAGCGAACAAGUACAGUGAUGGAAAGAUGAAAAGCACUUUGAAAAGAGAGUGAAACAGCACGUGAAAUUGUUGAAAGGGAAGGGCAUGCCGUCAGAUUGUCAGUGUGGGUAAGAAGCGGGGUACAAAGACUGUGGAACGUGGCCCUCGGGUGUUAUAGCCGCAGUUCAUGCCCCGUCUCUUUCCGAGGCCUGCUUUGAGGACACCGACGUAAUGACGGUACUCCGC
rnacentral:rRNA from 1 species